rnacentral:rRNA from 1 species
AUUGAACGCUGGCGGCAGGCCUAACACAUGCAAGUCGAACGAGUGGCGGACGGGUGAGUAAUGUCUGGGAAACUGCCCGAUGGAGGGGGAUAACUACUGGAAACGGUAGCUAAUACCGCAUACCAUCGGAUGUGCCCAGAUGGGAUUAGCUAGUAGGUGGGGUAACGGCUCACCUAGGCGACGAUCCCUAGCUGGUCUGAGAGGCUGACCAGCAACAAUGGAACUGAGACACGGGCCAGAAUCCUACGGGAGGCAGCAGUGGGGAAGAUUGCACAAUGGGCGGAAGCCUGAUGCAGCCAUGCCGGGUGUAUGAAGAAGGCCUUCGGGUUGUAAAGUACUUUCAGCCAGGAGGCGUUACUCGCAGAAGAAGCACCGGCUAACUCCGUGCCAGCAGCCGCGGUAAUUC